AACGCGAAGAACCUUACCAGCCCUUGACAUCCCGGUCGCGGACUCCAGAGAUGGAGUUCUUCAGUUCGGCUGGACCGGAGACAGGUGCUGCAUGGCUGUCGUCAGCUCGUGUCGUGAGAUGUUGGGUUAAGUCCCGCAACGAGCGCAACCCCCGUCCUUAGUUGCUACCAUUUAGUUGAGCACUCUAAGGAGACUGCCGGUGAUAAGCCGCGAGGAAGGUGGGGAUGACGUCAAGUCCUCAUGGCCCUUACGGGCUGGGCUACACACGUGCUACAAUGGCGGUGACAAUGGGACGCUAAGGGGCAACCCUUCGCAAAUCUCAAAAAGCCGUCUCAGUUCGGAUUGGGCUCUGCAACUCGAGCCCAUGAAGUUGGAAUCGCUAGUAAUCGUGGAUCAGCAUGCCACGGUGAAUACGUUCCCGGGCCUUGUA
rnacentral:rRNA from 1 species